GGGAGAGGGAGGAGGACGCCAGGGGCACAGGGACAGCCUCCGGGGCGGGGCGCGGCGCCAGCCUAGCCCGAGGAUGGAGGCUGAGGCCGCCUGUUGAGUCACAGUUUCCCUGUGAUGCUCAUUUUAACCAGAUGGCACUUGCUUAGCAGUUUGGAGGAGAAGACCUGUUCCCCUGCAGGGACCUACCCCGAACUUUCAUGAACCCCUGGUAGCUGAAUAGCAGCUUGUCUAAGCGAGGUGCAGGGAUUUUGUCAAAGUCGGCCUCGGUGUUAAAGGCAGGGCCACCUACCAUGAACUUCUCUCUGUGACUUUAUUCUUUAGCAGUGCUCAAGUGUAAAUAAACUUGUUUACCAGGAUCAGAAUGGCCAUGUUAAUGAAGUCUUAUUUGUGUCACCACAAUGACAAGUAAUUUGUGCACAGCUGGACUCGGAGAGGGGACAAAACCAGAGAAAUUGUAUUUCUGUUCUGAAGUUUCCAUACAGAUGCCUUAGGCCAAAGUUAGUACAGCCAAUAUUUGCCUGUUUCUUUGGAUUGUGUGUCCAUGCUGGAGAAAAGCCUUGUUACUGUGCCCAGUGUGGUAAACGAAAUUAUAUGUACGCAGUGAGAAGAAAAAUGAAAUAAGAAGCACUGAUGAAUGUACCCACGGGUGUGACCUUGGGGGCCAGUGUGUGGUUUUUAUGAAAUGAACGCAUGAAUACGAGGACCCUAAUUAUUGCUUUCAACGGACAAAGUAUGGUGAAUAUAUAGAGAACGUUGCUGUACAACACUGGCUGUGUCUCAAAGCGGCUUUAGAAGUAAAUAUAGAAAUUCUUUGGUACAUGGUAUUGCAUAGAAAAGUCAUUAAGAAAAAAGCAAGACAAUUUGUUAAGACCUUGUUAAGUGGAGCUGGGGGAUGAUUAAUUUUGUUUGUUUGUUUUUGUUGUUCCCUGGUAGAGCUCAACAAACUACAGACCACGGGCCAAAUCUGACCCACCGCUGCUUUUGUAAAUAAAACUUUAUUGGAAAAAA
ensembl:lncRNA LUNAR1 leukemia-associated non-coding IGF1R activator RNA 1